CAUUGCAUUUUGAAGGGAUCAUAAGAUAUGACGACAUUCUGGAUAAUGAUGGAGGAUUGAAAUUGAAUCAAGGAACGCAAGAACAGGGAUCUAGUAUUUAUUGGUGGCGUAAGGUGCAGAUACAAUCGAGAUAUGCUAAAGACCAUAAAACGUGGGGCUUUUAUAAAGAUUUAACAGCAUUUGAUCAGGUGAUGCUUAAAUCAGAUGAGAACAUG